rnacentral:rRNA from 1 species
GAUGAACGCUGGCGGCAGGCCUAACACAUGCAAGUCGAGCGGAUGGAGGGAGCUUGUUCCUGGUUUCAGCGGCGGACGGGUGGGGAAUGCAUAGGAAUCUGCCUGGUAGUGGGGGAUGACGACCGGAAACGGGCGCUAAUACUACAUACGACUAGAGCGUGAUGUUGGGGGAUCUUCGGACAUCACGCUCUCCGAUGAGCCUAGGUGGGGUUAGCUAGUUGGUGGGGUAAGGGCCUACCAAGGCGACGAUCCAUAACUGAUCUGAGAGGCUGAUUGGCCACAUGGGGACUGAGACACGGCCCAAACUCCUACGGGAGGCAGCAGUAGGGAAUUUUCGACAAUGGGCAAAAGCCUGAUGGAGCAAGGCCGCGUGUGUGAUGAAGGCUUUCGGGUCGUAAAGCACUUUUGUAUGGGAAGAACAGCUAUAAUAGGAAAUGAUUUUAGUUUGACGUUACCAUACAAAAAAGCAACGGCUAACUACGUG